UACGGGAGGCAGCAGUGGGGAAUAUUGCACAAUGGGCGCAAGCCUGAUGCAGCCAUGCCGCGUGUAUGAAGAAGGCCUUCGGGUUGUAAAGUACUUUCAGUCGUGAGGAAGGUGUUAAGGUUAAUAACCUUAGCAAUUGACGUUAGCGACAGAAGAAGCACCGGCUAACUCCGUGCCAGCAGCCGCGGUAAUACGGAGGGUGCGAGCGUUAAUCGGAAUUACUGGGCGUAAAGGGCACGCAGGCGGUUAAUUAAGUUGGAUGUGAAAUCCCCGGGCUUAACCUGGGAAUGGCAUUCAAGACUGGUUAGCUAGAGUCUUGUAGAGGGGGUAGAAUUCCAUGUGUAGCGGUGAAAUGCGUAGAGAUGUGGAGGAAUACCGGUGGCGAAGGCGGCCCCUGGCAAAGACUGACGCUCAUGUGCGAAAGCGUGGGGAGCAAACGAGAAUUAGAUACC
rnacentral:rRNA from 1 species